GUUUUGGUCACAUGUGGACGCAUCUAAGUCUGUAGGUAAUACUGAUUACAGAACUUAGGACUGGGAGCAGUACUGGCAUUUAUAUAGAGUCCUGACAUUUGUAGACCCUACUAUGGGUAAUAGGGGCAACUACUGACCGUAGAAGAGAGUAGGGACAGCAGAGAAAAUUAACAGUUCUGACAUCAACCCCUCAUAUAACCAACUAAAGUGAAAGGGCUACUCCCUACCUCAGUGAAAGUAAGUAUUUUUUUAUCGCAACCAAUUUUGUGUGUGUGUGUACUGUAUGAAGAGAGUGAAUGUUUGUUAUUUCUUUAUUGUCCACAGGGGGUUAAACAUAGAAGGGACAAACAAGGACAGAUAAAGGGACUACGUGGAUUACAUCGACCCCAGUGCGUAAUUGGUACUUAUUUAAUCGACCCCGAAAGGAUGAAAGUCAAAGUCGACCUCGGCGGAAUUUGAACUCAGAACGUAACGGCAGACGAAAUACCUAUUUCUUUACUACCCACAAGGUGCUAAACACAGAGAGGACAAACAAGGACAGACAAAGGGAUUAAGUCGAUUACAUCGACUCCAGUGUGUAACUGGUACUUAAUUUAUCGACCCCGAAAGGAUGAAAGGCAAAGUCGACCUCGGCGGAAUUUGAACUCAGAACAUAGCGGCAGACGAAAUACGGCUACGUAUUUCACCCGGCGUGCUAACGGUUCUGCCAGCUCACCGCCUUCAAUAUUCUUAGCCCUGUAUUCUGUGGCCCUCUAUCAUUAAUGACUAAGGAUGAAGGCCCUAGAUUCCUCACCCCCACUAGAACAGCAUUUUCUGUGUCUGAACUAUUCGAUAUGCAAAUGGCAGUCUCUGUCACACAAGCACUGCAUUUAAGGGUUGCCCAGGGCCUGUUUGAGCUGUAUUGUUCUUCCUGUCUGAUGUUUUAUCCUGUUCUAGCUCUCAAGUAGGGGGUGUUCGAAAGAAUUCGAUCCUGGGUAGUGUCCCACAUCUCAACGUCCUAAUGGAUCCUGAGAAACAGUCCGGCCACUACAACUUGGUGACAGCGAAAGCCUUUCUCAUGCUUGUGUAUGGUUACAAGGAAACAUAUUAGGAAUCAGGGUUUUCCUUCCGCUUGAUGGAUUGCACUCCCCCACCUGGUUAACGAGCUCCAUCUUUCUCGACUGAGUUGCUAAUUAACCCGAAGCUGGGACACUGACAAUUCAUACAAUUCUUGUCGGAAUAGACCUGUGAACAACAGUGGCUAAGAGGAGGGUCCUCACUCCUCAAAUCCUUGGAAUUCCCGAAGCAGGGCCCCACUACUAAAAUCUUAUCCAGGACCUGUACCUAUGUUAACAACACUAAUUUAUGUUCAACUAGCAGUAUCGCCCGGCGUUGCUUGGGUUUGUAAGGGAAAUAACUAUAUAAGCAUUUUUAGAGAGUUAUAGCCAAAAAAUAGCAAAAAAAAUGCAUUAAAAAUGGAAAAAAAAUUAUGGUAAAUUUUUUUUAAAUCGUUGACUCAUCGUAGACAUUUUUAGAGAGUUACUUCCCUUAUAUAAUAGCGAAAAAAUGCAUUAAAAUGGAAAAAAAUGAUGGUAAAUUUUUUUUAAAUCGUAGACUCAUGCUAAUACCCAGAAGGGCUCGAUAUGAAUCACGACUAUAAGAUACCCGCUUUUGGUUAAACUGCACCGCAAAAUGUGGGAGUAGUUAGGAAUCUAAAUCGUAGGAGACAGACACACAACUUCACUUUUAUAUAUAAAGAUUUUCUAUUCCAAAUCAUAAUUUAUUUCUUAUUUUUCGUUUUCUUUUUAAGUUACCCUUCCUCGCAUACUCAAAAAUUUUACCUCUUGUCAUUUUAUUUCUCUCUUCUCUUUCAGGAUAUCUCUCUGUUACUCUCUAAUUCUUUUCCACCCUUUCUGUCUUUUUCUCACCCGUUCUCUCUUUGUAUAUUAAAUUUCACCUUCUCUUUUUGCUGAAUCUCACCCUCUUUCUCCUCUCAUCUCUCUUCCUUUCUCUAAUGCCAUUUGCU
rnacentral:lncRNA from 1 species